rnacentral:rRNA from 1 species
GACGAACGCUGGCGGCGUGCUUAACACAUGCAAGUCGAACGGAAAGGCCCUGCUUUUGUGGGGUGCUCGAGUGGCGAACGGGUGAGUAACACGUGAGUAACAUGCCCUUGACUUUGGGAUAACUUCAGGAAACUGGGGCUAAUACCGGAUAGGAGCUCCUGCUGCAUGGUGGGGGUUGGAAAGUUUCGGCGGUUGGGGAUGGACUCGCGGCUUAUCAGCUUGUUGGUGGGGUAGUGGCUUACCAAGGCUUUGACGGGUAGCCGGCCUGAGAGGGUGACCGGCCACAUUGGGACUGAGGUACGGCCCAGACUCCUACGGGAGGCAGCAGUGGGGAAUAUUGCAGAAUGGGCGGAAGCCUGAUGCAGCAACGCCGCGUGCGGGAUGACGGCCUUCGGGUUGUAAACCGCUUUCGCCUGUGACGAAGCGUGAGUGACGGUAAUGGGUAAAGAAGCACCGGCCAACUACGUG